UGUGUGUGUGUGUGUGUGUGUGUGUCCUGGAUUAGUAUGUAAAUUUCUUAACUACUGAUCCAACAUUUACCUACAUCACACCACUCUCCUGGCCAUGAUUAUAAUGAACCAAACCUCUGAAAUUGUAAGCAAGCCCCCAAUAAAAUGCUUUUAUUUAUAAGACUAGCUUUGGUCAUGGGGUUUCUACACAGCAAUAAAACAGUGACUUAGACAGCUUCUCUAAGAGUGAUGCCCAGCUGUCUUUAUUGUUCACUUUUGGAAAGAAGACAUCUACUGAAUCUGGUCAGUUUUAAGCACUUACUGGAGCAAUUUUGAGUUGUUUGCCUUCUGUCUUAAAGAGCUGCCCUGUAAAAUGGAAAGUUUCAGUUUCAGUCUUGGAAGAAAUUGCUAUACAGCACAUGAUAACAAAAACAGGAAAUACCAUAUGUUGCCUUAUCACUAACAAAGUCAUCCCAACCUAGAAAUGGAACACUCAUUUCAAAUUUUACUUGCUUGUAAAGUCUCAGAAGACAAAAAUAAAGCAAGGAAAUUCAUUAACAAUCAAAACAUAAAGUAAAAAUUUAGUUACCAUAACAAUCACCACCAUUGCCCUUUGACCCUAAGGGUGCAUUAGUGGCAAUCAGAUUUUGGUGGUAUGCAACAGCUCUCUAAGUGAACUUAAGACUCUUUCAACAGAAAGGAAAUGAUAUCUGAUACCAGAACCAUAGUAAACUUCCUGGGUCAUAGAUCUUAGAGAAGAGCCUACUACCAUCAUUUUUAAACCAGCAUAAUUCUUAACUGCAUUCUAAGUAUCUAUCUCUAUAACCACAGAUAAUUACAGCUCUUACCCAUAAUGAAGAAACUUGUCUUUGUAACAGAAGGAGACUUUUAAGUUGGGAGCAUAGACCCCCUCGCAUCUAUCCUAGCCCCCAGGCCUGAGAGUUGUAUUGGUCUGGACUCCAAAUCCCAGCAGGCUAGGUCAUGUCUCCUCCCUGAGGGGGGGGGAGUCAGGACCACUCCCACAUGGUAUUUAAAUGAACUCCCAAAAGAGGAACACAUGAUCUCUUCCUUCCUCUUGGUAGUGGUCAUGUUUGAGGCCUCCUGGUUCCCCCUCAGGGCCACCCAAAAGCACAGGACUCUCAUUAAACCUGGAUAAUUCUUAAUUUGGCUUGUUAUGGUUUGGCUUGAUUGGGAUUUUGCAUUGGCAGAGAGCUUGCGUUAGGAAAAAAAUUUCUAACAGAGACCAUUAUAGAAAAGCAAAGUCACAGAUGGUCAAAAUUCAGAGAACAAGUGAUCUCUCACUGCCAAGCACCAAUUAAUACAUCGUCAAAACAACCUCUUUACCUAAGGCUCAGGGAAACUUAGAAGAGGGGGCAGAAAGAUUGCAAGAGUCAGAGGACCAAGAGAUAUGCCGUGAGGUUAAGGCUUCUAUAAAUGACAGGGAAGCUUCACCCAUGAUACUUCAAUAGUAUGGUUGCCUAAAUGAGACCCGAGAAAGUACACCACCAAUGGGCAUGUUAACAUGGAAGGGGGAAAUUUCACAGAGCUCUACUACAAGCAAUUAAGGAAUGUUCAAAGAAGGACAAAUAGUCUCUAUCAGGACAGAGUUUCUCAAUUAAUUAUCCAAUACCAAAAGGUCAGCCCAGAAAACAUACACACAAAUACACAAAUAACAUCAUACAUACUGAGCAGGUUGUUCUUAUCCCAAUACAAUAGGUUGCUCUCCAAAAGAUGACAGCAAGACCUCAUUGCUGAAAACAACAACAACAUGAUUCAUUGAACAUGGAGAAGUCAAACUGGUUCCUACAUAUAACCUUCACCCCUACAUUUUAGUCUUUGGUAUGGAAAGAUACUCUUCAGAAUAUCAAAAGAGAAAUAUAAUAUCCAACCUAGCCACAAGCACUUUGAACUAUAAUACUGUCCUGACGACAAAACAUGGUAGGGCAAUGAUGGUACAAAGUUUGUGGGAGUAACCAACCAAUAUCUGAUUUGAAUUAAGGCCCACUGCACGAGAUGGAACCUUUGCCCAACACUCUUGGGUGAGCAAGAACCACAGAUUAGAUAUUCCAGAAUCUAAUCAAAUACUACUGGAAUGCAAAAAAAAUGCUAGAAUUUCUCCUGAUGACAUUCUGCUAUAUUCAUCAAUCUAAGUAGAUCAGUGCCUUACUCAGUCAUCAUAGUGUCCUUUUUUUGCAGCAGAUAGGAACAAACACAGAGACAUGCAGCCAAGACAUUACAGACAGAAAGACAUACAAAGAGAAAGAGACCUUAGAAUGUAUAGCUUUAAAUGACAUAUCUCCAUCAAAUCCUUCCCCCUCAGAGCUCAGGGAACCCCCAUUGAAGAAAGGAAUAGUGUAAGAGCCAGAGGUAAUAGAAGACACCAGGCUUUCUUCAUCAAAUCCUUCCCCCUCAAAGCUCAGGGAACCCCCAUGGAAAAAGGGAAGAAUGUAAAAGCCAGAGAAAAUAGAAGACACCAGUAUAUCUCUACUCAAUGGUUCUCAACCUUCCUAUUGCUGUGACCCUUUAAUACAAUUCCUCAAGUUGGGGUAACUUCCCCAACCAAAAAAUUAUUUUUCUGGCUACUUAAUAGCUGUAACUUUUCUACUGUUAUGAAUUAUAAUAUAAGUCUUCAACAAUCCCUGUAACAGGGUCAUUUGACUCCCAAAGUGUUCAUGAACCACUGGUUAAGAAUUGCUGCUCUACAUUAACUGAGCAAAGUUCAUGUCAACUCAGAUAAAAUAAUCUAUUUUUAACAAAAGGAAGAAAAGAAUUAAAAGAAAAUAAUGUACACCUUUAUUAUAUUAUACAUUGUUAUGUACACUGUAUGUAUAUAUUAUACAGUAAUUUUGUUGGUAUUGCAUCCUAAAAAUUACUGAACUCAAUGAAUUUCAACAGUUUUCAGUGGACUUAAAAUUUCAUACGAGCAGGAACAUAUUUGCAAAGAGAGACAGCUUCAAAUGUUCCUUUCAAUCUAGCGUUCUUUUUUUCUCCCUGAUAAGUUGACCUGGAUAGAACUUCAAAGUUGAUAUUCAAUAGCAAUGGUGGAAAAAACCUUCAUCAUGGGUUGAUGUAAUGAUAAGCAUCUUCAUUCAUUCUCCACCAAGCACAGUGCUAUUUGGAGGGUGUUCACUGAUAUUUACAGGGAUGUAUGGACAUUUUACUCCAUUUCUAGUUUUAAAAAUACUUUUAGUCAAGAGAUACUCUAUGAUUUUGCCAAAUACUUCUGCUACCAUAGAAGUGAUCACAUUUUCACUCCAUUUACCAUUUCAGUAGGUAUUCACAUGUUAGUUCAAUCUUACAUUCUUAGUUCCACUUAGCCAUGGUAUACAAUAUUUUUCAUGGUAUUAAUAUCUUAUGCAUGUUUGUUCUGGAAACAUUAAGUCAUUUUUGGCUAACUGUGUGAUUUUUCCAUUAUAACCAACAUUUGGAAGGAAAAUAAACUAGUCUUGUGUAUGUUAGCUGUUUUAAACCCACACAGUAUUGGCUUCAUGUUACUGGAUCAUGGUACUUCAAGGAAUCAAAACAGUGUCACAAAAAUAGUAAUUACAGUUUGAGCACAGCACACACUAUUUUUCACAGCAGCAUGGCUCCUGAGUGAAGAAUUUUUAUUAUAAGUCAAAGCCCCAUAUUCUUCUAAAAAGGUAUUUUUUAUAUUUUUUAUGAAAUAUACUAUAAAAUUUUUAAAAUUGGGGGCUCCUUUUACACUAAUUUAAAUUACUCAUGAAGUAACUGCAUAAGUUUUUAAGUUGGAAGAGUCUAACUCCACCAUAGUUUGACAAAUAAUUUUUUAUUUAUUUAUAGUAUGAUUCAAAAGUUUUUAAUACAUUCAGAGAAGUUGCAGCUAUUGCCAUUUUAAAACAUUGUCCUCAUCCCCCAAAGAAAAUCAUACUCAAAGUCAGAGAAAUGGUUUGAUGGUGACCAUUAAAAUUUCUGACCGUGAAAGUCUGAUGAUGGCAGUUCAUAUCCCUGGAAGUUAUCUAUAAACAGUCCAUCGUUCCCCCUGUCUGUAACCCCAGCCCUUCUGUGACAAAAUGGGAGGCAGAAACAGAAGAAUCCCCAGGAACUUACAGGCCUGCUAUCUCAAAGUAUGCAGAAUACCAGCUGAUCCGGAGCAUCUAACAGGAAGGGACACCCUGUCUCAAAGUAAAAGAAAAGGACAGAUGCAUCUUCAUAUACAAACACACACACACACACAGGUUGCAAACCUGCGCCUCACAAAAAUAAUACGACCUUUAAAAAAGUCAUAAUCAUUACCCAUGAGCAGUCAUUGCCUAAUCCCCAUCCCUCUUCCUUUCUCUAGCCUUGACAAUCACCAACUCACUUUCAGUUUACCCUUUUUUAAAUCUAGAACUCUCCCUGUUACACCUCAAUAGUUGAUUAGAGUUACCUGUGCUGUAGCAAACCAUUGCCUCCCUGGACCCAUCUUUUAAAUCCAUGUGCUCCUUUCAUAUUGAAUCACAAACUUUAGUGACCCUGUGAACUGGUUUCCUUGGGUGUUUGCUCAUUUGUUUGUUUCAAAUCAAAUCAAACAACUUGGUGCCAGGUGAAAGAGUCAGAGAAAACCAGCUGGAGCACUGUGAAUAACUGUGGAGCAGCGGGCUCAUGGUCUAGAAAGAAUGAGAACUGUGUCUCAGGUGUCUGUCACAUCAACAAGAUUAUUCACCUUCAGAGCAGACUGUGAAGAAUAAGGAGUUAAUGCUAUCACACCUACUCUUUGAAAAGCUAACAGUGGUCUGGGGUAUCCAAUUUACUUUCACCUUCACUCUGUAUCUAAGGUAAGAUUCACUUACAAGCACUAGUCACAGUGUUAAAAUUUGGAAUGAAAAGCACUUAUAGACUGAAGUUUUUAUGGGUGCAUACAUGACAUAAAGGAUUGCUUUUUUUAAAAAGUCAAAAAGAAUUUAGAUUCUUAGAUUAUUCUUCAAAUCAUGAAUAUACCAAAAUGCUGCUGGUUGAAAAUCAUAGACUAUUUUUUAGUGAAAUAAACUGUCUCUGCAAGGUUAUCCAUCUUUUUACUGCUGUUUGCAGCAAGAGAGUCUUGGCAUAUCAGAGAAAUCAUAAAAUAAACUCACAAAUAUAAAAUUUAAUGAGAAAUCAAAUAACAUAAACCAAUCUCAUAAAAAGAAAUAAAAUGAAAUUAAAAGAAAGAAAAAACACGACUUUAGUACUCUUGGUUGUUUGCCAGUUCACAUACUGCUAUAAAAAAUCACCAUUAUUAAUGCAUGUAGGAGAGAAAUAUUUAGAGGAUGGAUUGUCAGGGCAUGUUUUGUUGGGUUGAGUACGCAGUUUAUGAGGGAAUGUGGCAGCACUAGCAUCAUCGUAAUAUAGAACGGAUGUGAUUUUCAGUUAUUUUACAUAGUAAAGAUCAUUACUACAGACAAAAUGCAAUGUGGAGACAAUAUAAAUUCUGGGUGGAAGAACAAGUCACAGAAGCAGAACAAUAUAUCAAAUUUUAGACUAGUUAUCAGUGCUGGGGUCUUUUUCAAUGAUUGCCCUGGGGGCUUUCCCCAGGGUGGCUCUGCCUUCCAACCAUAUCUUUUCCCAUGCAAACUCAAGUGCUCAUACUAACAAUACCAACAGCCAAAAGUUAGAAAGUCAAUGCUAAAUGUUUUAAAGAAGUAAUUCAAAGAAAUGAAAUCACUACAAGAUCUAACUGGACAUGAGUGCUUCAAUUAAAAAUAAUAUUUUAAAAUAGUUAUCCAAUAGUGUUGGCUGAGCAUUAUCAAGUUGACUGUGUUAUGUACUGAAUCGCAUCACAAGUUACUCUAAACAUCAAAAUAUGUAUGCACUUUCUGCACAGUCAUACAGAAAUAAGAAUGAUUGUUAUGGCUGGGAUCUGAAUUUCCUCUCAAAGCAAAAGUAGUGAUAUCUUGGUCAAUCAAGCAGAGGAAGGAAGUGACUAGCUCAUUAGACCUCUGACUUCAUCAUAAAUUGACUCACUAAGAGAUCCAUUGAUCAACUAGCUCAUAGGAUAAUGGAAACUUUAUCAGGAGAGAACAGGAAGCAGGUGCCUAGGAGUCUACCUUGAACUGUAUAUUCUUCCUCUUCCCCUCCAUUGCUCCCCCUCAUUAGCUCUACUCGUGUUCCCCACAAUGAUGCUCUGUUUUAACACAGGCCGCAAAGUGAUGGGACCAAUUGUUCACAGAAUAAAAUCUUGGAAACUGUGAACCAAGAUAAAUGUUUCUUUCCUUUAGUAGAUGCUCUCACACAUCUUGUCACAGGGUUGGAGUGCAGGCUUUCAUGGCUAUGAUGUCAAAAGGACCCUCCCUGGUAAUCAAAAAUAUAAUAAUAAUUGAAGUUUUAAAAUCUUUAAAAACAGUUCUAAAAAAAAGCAAAAAACAUUUAUAAUGCUGAGAUAUUUUCUAUUAACUCUUAUUAGUGUGUUAUGUAUACAUUUACAUACAUGUAAAAAUCAAAUAAUAAUAAACAUCUUAUCUUCAAGAACCAAGUCUUCCUAUUGCCGAGGUUCUUAUCUCUACAGAAAACUAUUUCUAGCCCUUUAAAAAAAUAAUUAUAUGUGUGUGCCUAUCUGAGUGUACGUGCAGAUAUGUAUUUGGGUGCCUGUGGAGGCCAGUAGAGGUGCUCUUGGAGUUAGGGCUAAAAGCAUCUGUGCUGGGCCUGACAGGCAUUGUAGUUCAAACUCCAGUCUUUCUGAUAGAGUAGCAAAGAUUCUUAGCCACUUGAGCCAGCACUCUAGCCCGAUUCCAGGACUGUUACCUAUUUUUUCGAGCAUUUAUUUCCUUGUACCUAGACAGUGAAAAGGUAUUUAUUAAUUUAUCAAUAUGUUAAAUUUCAGUUUAAUUUUAUUUUACACUAGGACUUAUAGGUCAUUUAUAACUAUCAUUUUCUUCACAGUAGAUUUAUGCUGGCUUUUCCAUUGCACCUGUAACAAAUUAUCACUAAUUUGAUUGCUUAACAACCGAAACUAUCAUUUCACAGUUGAUUGUGUAGGACAAAAGUUUGGUAAUCGGUUAGUGUCUUCACAAGGGCCAUGACAAGCCUUAGUCAGCUUACACUUUCAUCUGUAGGCUGUUCGGGAGAAUCUAGUUCCGGCUCCUUCAAGAUCAUACGAAUUUUGGUGGUCCAGGUGCCUGGAAUCUGAAAUGUUCAUUUCUUGUGCAUAUGAACUGGUGGUUAGUCUUUACUCCUAGACACUUCUCCCUUUCUAUGCAUGAGAAUGAUUGUGAUUUUUCAUAGACGCUGUCAGCCUAGUUCUUGGUGACUCACAGCUUUCCCACCUGCAAAAUAUAUCCCCACCUCCCAUUUGUUCUACUGAAUACAAUUCCUUGUACCAUUUGCUCAAGGCCCAUGAUUUCAUCAUUUCCAUAAGGUUCGACUGAAGCAGAAUCUUGGAUAUAAUCGACUAUGUCUUAUUCUUGGAGUACAAUUACACAUGACAGUGAAAUGGAAAGAAAAAAUAUGUCUUUCCAACAUAGAAUAGUAGGUCAUACAUUCUGGAGAUGUUAUAACUAUUUAGGCUCAAAAUUGGAAAGAAAAAGAUGUAAAGAUGAGACAUCAUUCUAGUGCCGGUCUAGUAACUUGUAUUCCAACUCCAGCCAUACCUCCUGACCUCUUUGCUCAACUUCCAAAGACAAUGUACAGAGCAUCUUUGUUGGCUCUCACUUCUACUUGUGUUCAAAAACACUCUGACUCCAUAUAUUCCCUAUGGCUCAGUAUAUAAAUGACAAUGAACUUCUGAAAUUAAGACUCAUUAAGUAAAGGUCACCACUGUAUCCAAUCUUCAAUCACCCCAUAAAAUGAUGAUUAAUAAUAGAAUCAGGUGCUGAAAUCACUAAUUAACUACAGAUUCCUAGUUAAGUUCAGUCUGUCAAGGAUGGACCAGGCAAUGAUAUGAGAUGUUCGACUAGGUCCUAACGAGAAAUGUUUGCUUUGGUUACCAGCACACACAUUAAAAUACUCCUGACUAUAAAAUGUCAUUCCUUCAAAGGGAAAAGAGACAACCUACAAACACAAGGCACUCAGGCAAACAGUAAAAUGUUCAAGUUUAUUAUGAGUUCAAGGUUUUACUGGUUCUCCAGCAACACACAGGCUUUAGUGAAAGAUGCAUAGUGAAUUUGAUCAUUUAAUUAAAGCAUGUCAAUCAGUUUCUGCAUUUGACCUAUAUGAGAGGGAAAAAAUUCCUUCAAACUUGUCAGUCAGGCCUUAUCAUUUUGAACCUAUCACUAAUUAAAUGGUAGCAGUUUUAAGUAUCAUCGUAUGGGAUUUUAGAUCUAACUCACAAAGCAACGCUACUCCUCAGGUUAUGUAGGUAAAUGAUUCCGUGAUGAUUUCAUUUCUCAAAGCCUGACCUGCCUGGGUAGAAUGCUUUGAGCCAAAGUUAGCUCCCAUGUGUCUCACUUUUUUUCUAGACAAGAAAUUAUUUUUCCAUCCUUUCCAGGUGUACACUAACCUAAUUUCACAAAUAUUUUUAUUUACCACCUUUUUACUCACUUGCCAGAUAACUAUUUAACAAUUAAAUUAUGGGUUGCCUUAAGUAAUAGAGAGUAUAAUUUAAACAAGAUAACUUAGGAAAUAUUCCCCCUUUUUGUUUUGUAAUUCUUUCAUUUGUUUAUAUACAAUUUUUAUAUUGCAUGUCUUAUUUUAUAUUUUAUAUUGCAGGAUCUUGCUAUGAUCCCAGGCUGAUCUGAAGAUGUGCUCCACCCUCUUGUGCUAACCUCUAAGUAAUAGCAUUACAAAAGGACAGAAACUCCAAGACGCUAGCAGUAACCCAAGAUCUCCAAAGAAGAUUAUGGGACACCAUGAUGUCGCCACCUGGAUUAUGAUAACGCUGACCACUGGUCAGGAUGACCCAGUGCAACACCUCCUGCCAGAACCUGGUCUUCUCUGGACAAACAGCAGGACAUUGGAAAAUUGAUCGCACCACUUUUGCCUAGACAAAAUAAGUAGGCUUUCACUUUACUGGCAGAUACAUCUAAGCAUCAGUUGAUAACUAUAACCUGCUCUGAAUGACUGUGAGCCCUGGACUUCCUGAAAGCUGAUGUGAACCAGACCAGCUGAUGUGAAUGCUCCCUGUCUCUUCAACAGAAUCUGUGAACCAGAUGCUUCUAGAUGCUUCUGAUGAGUCCCCAUUGCCUGAAUUCCUUCCUUACGUUUGGCUAGCCUUGCAGCCUACUUGGGCCCUGAUGGCAAUGCCCCAAUGUCAGCUUGAAGUAGUUGCAGAAACACAUCAUCCCAUGCUCCCUUUUCAGAACAGGUUGAAAUGCUGAGACAAGGGGAAACUCUCUGGCAUGGGGGACAAAAUGGCUACCUAUAGUGCCCAUUGAUAUACCAGAAAAAAUAGACCGACAGUUGUUAAUUAAUGGAUUUAUUAACUAAAAUGGUUUUACAAUAAAAAGACACUUUGGUUCUUUAUGUAGAAUCACAUAACCAAAGAGCACAUUCAGGAUUAUAAUUACAACUUGGUUGUACUCAAAAGAUCAGAGCUAUAGGGCCUGGUAGGCUGGCCACUGCCCUAGAAAAAUCUGUUAACUAAAAUUCUUAGGUCCCAAUACUAUCUCCUUAAACCCAAGGGCAAGCAGGAUCCGUGAGUGAGUCCUGUCAUUUGUAUUUGUGAAUUAGGAAAUGUAGGACUCAGCUGUGAAAAACUCAAUAGAGGCCUGAGUCUCAGUAGUUUUAAAUGGCAAUACCUGGUUGAAAGAAAAACCACAAACUGAUACUACUCAGGCACCACCCAAAAACAGUCCAUCACUAAUGUUCCAACCAGUGUAGAUAGGAUCACAUGCCAGCACACACCCUGCUAAUAUAACUUUUCUGGGUUUUACCUUUAAAUAAUGCUCUCUAGAAAGGUAGGGUACCUCCUCUCCCUGCUGCACUGAUGAGAUCCCUACCAGUUUAUAACAUGCACCCAGUAAACCUCACUUUUGCAUUUCAGUGAGUUGGUCUCCCUGGUGGCUUUUUGGGAUCACCACAGACUGAACAUAACCUUGCAAAAUUUAGAAAACAAUUUUAGUGAGGUAAUCUUAAGUUAAAGCUUAGGGGGCUGUAGCUAUGACACAGAAAAUGUGUUAUCUUAAAUAUGUAACAAUUAUGUAAAGUGUUUUCUGACCUGAUAAGCCUCUCUGCCAAUGCAAUAAUCCAAACCAGA